UAAGCAUCAGGUAACAUCAAAUCGUACCCCAAACCGACACAGGUGGUCAGGUAGAGAAUACCAAGGCGCUUGAGAGAACUCGGGUGAAGGAACUAGGCAAAAUGGUGCCGUAACUUCGGGAGAAGGCACGCUGACACGUAGGUGAAGUGAUUUACUCACGGAGCUGAAGUCAGUCGAAGAUACCAGCUGGCUGCAACUGUUUAUUAAAAACACAGCACUGUGCAAACACGAAAGUGGACGUAUACGGUGUGACGCCUGCCCGGUGCCGGAAGGUUAAUUGAUGGGGUCAGCGCAAGCGAAGCUCCUGAUCGAAGCCCCGGUAAACGGCGGCCGUAACUAUAACGGUCCUAAGGUAGCGAAAUUCCUUGUCGGGUAAGUUCCGACCUGCACGAAUGGCGUAAUGAUGGCCAGGCUGUCUCCACCCGAGACUCAGUGAAAUUGAACUCGCUGUGAAGAUGCAGUGUACCCGCGGCAAGACGGAAAGACCCCGUGAACCUUUACUAUAGCUUGACACUGAACAUUGAGCCUUGAUGUGUAGGAUAGGUGGGAGGCUUUGAAGUGUGGACGCCAGUCUGCAUGGAGCCGACCUUGAAAUACCACCCUUUAAUGUUUGAUGUUCUAACGUGGACCCGUUACCCGGGUUGCGGACAGUGUCUGGUGGGUAGUUUGACUGGGGCGGUCUCCUCCUAAAGAGUAACGGAGGAGCACGAAGGUUGGCUAAUCCUGGUCGGACAUCAGGAGGUUAGUGCAAUGGCAUAAGCCAGCUUGACUGCGAGCGUGACGGCGCGAGCAGGUGCGAAAGCAGGUCAUAGUGAUCCGGUGGUUCUGAAUGGAAGGGCCAUCGCUCAACGGAUAAAAGGUACUCCGGGGAUAACAGGCUGAUACCGCCCAAGAGUUCAUAUCGACGGCGGUGUUUGGCACCUCGAUGUCGGCUCAUCACAUCCUGGGGCUGAAGUAGGUCCCAAGGGUAUGGCUGUUCGCCAUUUAAAGUGGUACGCGAGCUGGGUUUAGAACGUCGUGAGACAGUUCGGUCCCUAUCUGCCGUGGGCGCUGGAGAACUGAGGGGGGCUGCUCCUAGUACGAGAGGACCGGAGUGGACGCAUCACUGGUGUUCGGGUUGUCAUGCCAAUGGCACUGCCCGGUAGCUAAAUGCGGAAGAGAUAAGUGCUGAAAGCAUCUAAGCACGAAACUUGCCCCGAGAUGAGUUCUCCCUGAGACUUUAGGUCUCCUGAAGGAACGUUGAAGACGACGACGUUGAUAGGCCGGGUGUGUAAGCGCAGCGAUGCGUUGAGCUAACCGGUACUAAUGAACCGUGAGGCUUAACCUU
rnacentral:rRNA from 1 species